rnacentral:misc_RNA from 1 species
AAUUAAAACACAAUUCAUUCAUGACAGAAAGAUACAAACAGCUUAGCAAGUCCAAACCGUUCUUGUCUUGAACCAUUUUGCUCAUUCUCUACGUCACCUCCUCUCUUCCCCAGCUGUAAAUCCCACCCUUCUUCCUUCCUCUGGCCGCCCUAUAAUUAAAUUUCUCUCCGUCUGUCUUCUUCUUCUUCUUACUUCUUUACCUCGGAGCAUCAGAAACAAAAGGAAACAAUUAUCACCGUCUCCGCCAGUACACCUGACCUGCAUUUUUCAUUCAAGUUUCAACCAUAUCAUAGCGUCAAAAGGUUUGAAUUUUGAACCGUCUUCAACUAUAGCCAUCCCCGUUUGACAAAACCUUUCCCAUAAAAAGACACCACAUCAUCUCUGUACCUGCACAUCCAAUCUUUCUCUAUCCACCAGAAAGCCACCACCCACAGCCCAAAAUCACAAUGCUUCCCUUCUUAUUCUUCAUUCCCUCUCUAUCCACAGCACUUCCAUACAUAGUUUCAUUUGCUCUUUUCCUUCUUUUUUUUGAGCAGAUCUCUUACCUGAUAAAGAAACGCCAAGCUCCUG